rnacentral:rRNA from 1 species
UUAAUACAAGAUGGCAUCAUGAGUCCACAUGUUCACAUGAUUAAAGGUAUUCCGGUAGACGAUGGGGAUGCGUUCCAUUAGAUAGUAGGCGGGGUAACGGCCCACCUAGUCUUCGAUGGAUAGGGGUUCUGAGAGGAAGGUCCCCCACAUUGGAACUGAGACACGGUCCAAACUCCUACGGGAGGCAGCAGUGAGGAAUAUUGGUCAAUGGGCGAGAGCCUGAACCAGCCAAGUAGCGUGAAGGAUGACUGCCCUAUGGGUUGUAAACUUCUUUUAUAAAGGAAUAAAGUCGGGUAUGGAUACCCGUUUGCAUGUACUUUAUGAAUAAGGAUCGGCUAACUCCGUGCCAGCAGCCGCGGUAAUACGGAGGAUCCGAGCGUUAUCCGGAUUUAUUGGGUUUAAAGGGAGCGUAGAUGGAUGUUUAAGUCAGUUGUGAAAGUUUGCGGCUCAACCGUAAAAUUGCAGUUGAUACUGGAUAUCUUGAGUGCAGUUGAGGCAGGCGGAAUUCGUGGUGUAGCGGUGAAAUGCUUAGAUAUCACGAAGAACUCCGAUUGCGAAGGCAGCCUGCUAAGCUGCAACUGACAUUGAGGCUCGAAAGUGUGGGUAUCAAACAGGAUUAGAUACCCUGGUAGUCCACACGGUAAACGAUGAAUACUCGCUGUUUGCGAUAUACGGCAAGCGGCCAAGCGAAAGCGUUAAGUAUUCCACCUGGGGAGUACGCCGGCAACGGUGAAACUCAAAGGAAUUGACGGGGGCCCGCACAAGCGGAGGAACAUGUGGUUUAAUUCGAUGAUACGCGAGGAACCUUACCCGGGCUUAAAUUGCAGAUGAAUUACGGUGAAAGCCGUAAGCCGCAAGGCAUCUGUGAAGGUGCUGCAUGGUUGUCGUCAGCUCGUGCCGUGAGGUGUCGGCUUAAGUGCCAUAACGAGCGCAACCCUUGUUGUCAGUUACUAACAGGAUUUGCUGAGGACUCUGACAAGACUGCCAUCGUAAGAUGUGAGGAAGGUGGGGAUGACGUCAAAUCAGCACGGCCCUUACGUCCGGGGCUACACACGUGUUACAAUGGGGGGUACAGAGG